UACGGAGGGAGCAAGCGUUACUCGGAAUUAUUGGGCGUAAAGGGCGCGUAGGCGAUCUGACAAGUUCUGUGUGAAAGCCCACAUGUUAACUGUGGAAGUGCACAGAAAACUGUUGGAUUUGAGUUCAGGAGAGGAAGGCAGAAUUCCCGGUGUAGCGGUGAAAUGCGUAGAGAUCGGGAGGAAUACCAGUGGCGAAGGCGGCCUUCUGGACUGACACUGACGCUGAGGCGCGAAAGCCAGGGGAGCAAACGGG
rnacentral:rRNA from 1 species